rnacentral:rRNA from 1 species
GAGGUUAAGCGACUAAGCGUACACGGUGGAUGCCCUGGCAGUCAGAGGCGAUGAAGGACGUGCUAAUCUGCGAUAAGCGUCGGUAAGGUGAUAUGAACCGUUAUAACCGGCGAUUUCCGAAUGGGGAAACCCAGUGUGUUUCGACACACUAUCAUUAACUGAAUCCAUAGGUUAAUGAGGCGAACCGGGGGAACUGAAACAUCUAAGUACCCCGAGGAAAAGAAAUCAACCGAGAUUCCCCCAGUAGCGGCGAGCGAACGGGGAGCAGCCCAGAGCCUGAAUCAGUGUGUGUGUUAGUGGAAGCGUCUGGAAAGGCGCGCGAUACAGGGUGACAGCCCCGUACACAAAAAUGCACAUGCUGUGAGCUCGAUGAGUAGGGCGGGACACGUGGUAUCCUGUCUGAAUAUGGGGGGACCAUCCUCCAAGGCUAAAUACUCCUGACUGACCGAUAGUGAACCAGUACCGUGAGGGAAAGGCGAAAAGAACCCCGGCGAGGGGAGUGAAAAAGAACCUGAAACCGUGUACGUACAAGCAGUGGGAGCACGCUUAGGCGUGUGACUGCGUACCUUUUGUAUAAUGGGUCAGCGACUUAUAUUCUGUAGCAAGGUUAACCGAAUAGGGGAGCCGAAGGGAAACCGAGUCUUAACUGGGCGUUAAGUUGCAGGGUAUAGACCCGAAACCCGGUGAUCUAGCCAUGGGCAGGUUGAAGGUUGGGUAACACUAACUGGAGGACCGAACCGACUAAUGUUGAAAAAUUAGCGGAUGACUUGUGGCUGGGGGUGAAAGGCCAAUCAAACCGGGAGAUAGCUGGUUCUCCCCGAAAGCUAUUUAGGUAGCGCCUCGUGAAUUCAUCUCCGGGGGUAGAGCACUGUUUCGGCAAGGGGGUCAUCCCGACUUACCAACCCGAUGCAAACUGCGAAUACCGGAGAAUGUUAUCACGGGAGACACACGGCGGGUGCUAACGUCCGUCGUGAAGAGGGAAACAACCCAGACCGCCAGCUAAGGUCCCAAAGUCAUGGUUAAGUGGGAAACGAUGUGGGAAGGCCCAGACAGCCAGGAUGUUGGCUUAGAAGCAGCCAUCAUUUAAAGAAAGCGUAAUAGCUCACUGGUCGAGUCGGCCUGCGCGGAAGAUGUAACGGGGCUAAACCAUGCACCGAAGCUGCGGCAGCGACGCUGAUGCGUUGUUGGGUAGGGGAGCGUUCUGUAAGCCUGUGAAGGUGUGCUGUGAGGCAUGCUGGAGGUAUCAGAAGUGCGAAUGCUGACAUAAGUAACGAUAAAGCGGGUGAAAAGCCCGCUCGCCGGAAGACCAAGGGUUCCUGUCCAACGUUAAUCGGGGCAGGGUGAGUCGACCCCUAAGGCGAGGCCGAAAGGCGUAGUCGAUGGGAAACAGGUUAAUAUUCCUGUACUUGGUGUUACUGCGAAGGGGGGACGGAGAAGGCUAUGUUGGCCGGGCGACGGUUGUCCCGGUUUAAGCGUGUAGGCUGGUUUUCCAGGCAAAUCCGGAAAAUCAAGGCUGAGGCGUGAUGACGAGGCACUACGGUGCUGAAGCAACAAAUGCCCUGCUUCCAGGAAAAGCCUCUAAGCAUCAGGUAACAUCAAAUCGUACCCCAAACCGACACAGGUGGUCAGGUAGAGAAUACCAAGGCGCUUGAGAGAACUCGGGUGAAGGAACUAGGCAAAAUGGUGCCGUAACUUCGGGAGAAGGCACGCUGAUAUGUAGGUGAAGUCCCUCGCGGAUGGAGCUGAAAUCAGUCGAAGAUACCAGCUGGCUGCAACUGUUUAUUAAAAACACAGCACUGUGCAAACACGAAAGUGGACGUAUACGGUGUGACGCCUGCCCGGUGCCGGAAGGUUAAUUGAUGGGGUUAGCCGCAA